GCUAUGUGGGGGCCGAGGGCGGGGUUAUAGCGGUGGGGCCGAGCGUGGUCCGGGUGUACUGAGCGUAAAGGGCGGGGAGGUGGCGGGCCAAGUCGGGGGUGAAAGCGCGAUGCUUAACAUCGAGGCGGGCGAUGAGACUGGUUCGCUGGAGCACGGUAGCGGCAGACGGAAUGCGGGGGGUAGCGGUGGAAUGCGUAGAGAUCCGGAAGAACGCCGGUGGCGAAGGCGGUCUGCUGGGCAGUUGCUGACACUGAGGCGCGACAGCGUGGGGAGCAAACAGGAUUAGAUACCCCAGUAGUC
rnacentral:rRNA from 1 species